GGGCGCAUAGUUCAGUGGCAGAACACUCGAACACUGCUGGUCCGCUGAGGACGUGAGUUCGCGCGACACGUUCUCCUGGUAGCGGAUUAGCUGUUUGAGAGGCCCUGGGUUCAAGUCCCAGUGUGUCCA
rnacentral:tRNA from 1 species